rnacentral:rRNA from 1 species
CCUACGGGUGGCAGCAGUAGGGAAUCUUCCACAAUGGGCGAAAGCCUGAUGCAGCAACGCCGCGUGGGUGAAGAAGGUCUUCGGAUCGUAAAACCCUGUUGUUAGAGAAGAAAGUGCGUGAGAGUAACUGUUCACGUUUCGACGGUAUCUAACCAGAAAGCCACGGCUAACUACGUGCCAGCAGCCUCGGGAAAGCGUAUGUGGCAAGCGUUAUCCGGAUUUAUUGGGCGUAAAGGGAACGAAGGCGGCAUUGUAAGUCUGCUGUGAAAGCCGUGGGCUUAACCGGAGUAGUGCAUUGGAAACUGGGAGGCUUGAGUGCAGAAGAGGAGAGUGGAACUCCAAGUGUAGCGGUGAAAUGCGUAGAUAUAUGGAGGAACACCAGGGGCGAAGGCGGCUCUCUGGUCUGUAACUGACGCUGAGGUUCGAAAGCGUGGGUAGCAAACAGGAUUAGAUACCCCGGUAGUC